CCGUCGAUAGGUCAGUUGGCAGAGCGGUGGACUGUAGAUCCAUAGGUCGCUGGUUCGACUCCGGCUCGACGGA
rnacentral:tRNA from 1 species